rnacentral:rRNA from 1 species
GACGAACGCUGCGGCGUGCCUAAUACAUGCAAGUCGAACGAGAGCGACCGGUGCUUGCACUGGUCAAUCUAGUGGCGAACGGGUGAGUAACACGUGGGUAACCUGCCCAUCAGAGGGGGAUAACAUCCGGAAACGGAUGCUAAAACCGCAUAGGUCUUCGAGCCGCAUGGCUUGAAGAGGAAAAGAGGCGCAAGCUUCUGCUGAUGGAUGGACCCGCGGUGCAUUAGCUAGUUGGUGAGGUAACGGCUCACCAAGGCCGUGAUGCAUAGCCGACCUGAGAGGGUGAUCGGCCACAUUGGGACUGAGACACGGCCCAAACUCCUACGGGAGGCAGCAGUAGGGAAUCUUCCGCAAUGGACGCAAGUCUGACGGAGCAACGCCGCGUGAGUGAAGAAGGUUUUCGGAUCGUAAAACUCUGUUGUUAGAGAAGAACAAGUGCUAGAGUAACUGUUAGCGCCUUGACGGUAUCUAACCAGAAAGCCACGGC